UACGGGAGGCAGCAGUGGGGAAUCUUCCGCAAUGGGCGAAAGCCUGACGGAGCAACGCCGCGUGAGUGAAGAAGGUCUUCGGAUCGUAAAGCUCUGUUGUCGGGGACGAAUGUACCUUUUGUGAAUAAUGAGAGGUAAUGACGGUACCUGACGAGGAAGCCACGGCUAACUACGUGCCAGCAGCCGCGGUAAU
rnacentral:rRNA from 1 species